rnacentral:rRNA from 1 species
AAUGAACGCUGGCGGCGCGCCUAAUACAUGCAAGUCGAGCGAGAAGACGUAGCAAUACGUUUGUAAAGCGGCGAACGGGUGAGGAAUACAUGGGUAACCUACCCUCGAGUGGGGAAUAACUAGCCGAAAGGUUAGCUAAUACCGCGUACGCUUCUUGGACUUCGGUUCAGGGAGGAAAGCGAUACCGUGGGUAUCGCGCUCUUGGAUGGGCUCAUGUCCUAUCAGCUUGUUGGGAGGUAACGGCUCACCAAGGCUUCGACGGGUAGCUGGUCUGAGAGGACGAUCAGCCACACUGGCACUGCGACACGGGCCAGACUCCUACGGGAGGCAGCAGUAAGGAAUAUUGCGCAAUGGGCGAAAGCCUGACGCAGCGACGCCGCGUGGGGGAUGAAGGU